CCUUGUACACACCGCCCGUCAAGCGAUGGAAGCUGGGAGUACCCGAAGUCGAUGUACCAACCCGCAAGGGGGAAGUUGCCGAAGGUAAGACCAGUGACUGGCGCU
rnacentral:rRNA from 1 species